rnacentral:misc_RNA from 1 species
AACCAUAGAAACCUGCGGAGUACCUGCGGAGGGAUCAUUAUAGUAUAUGGAAUCUCCAUUCUAUAAACCCACUCUGCGUAUCUUGUAACUGUUGCUUCCAUGGGACUUGGUUCCGCCACACCGGCUUCACGGCUGGUGAGCGCCCAUGGAAGGAGAAACAAAACUCUUCUUUGAAAUGAAGUCAGUCUGAACAAGUUUUUAUAAACGUUAAAACUUUCAGCAAUGGAUCUCAGAUCGGAA